rnacentral:rRNA from 1 species
UACGGAGGAUGCGAGCGUUAUCCGGAUUUAUUGGGUUUAAAGGGUGCGUAGGCGGCUUUUUAAGUCAGCGGUGAAAUUUUGCAGCUUAACUGUAACAGUGCCGUUGAUACUGGGGAGCUAGGAUUUGGUUGCUGUGGGUGGAAUGUGUGGUGUAGCGGUGAAAUGCUUAGAGAUCACACAGAAUAUCGAUUGCGAAGGCAGCUCACAAAGCCAAGAUUGACGCUGAUGCACGAAAGCGUGGGGAUCAAACAGGA